UACGGAGGGGGCUAGCGUUGUUCGGAAUUACUGGGCGUAAAGCGCACGUAGGCGGCUUUGUAAGUUAGAGGUGAAAGCCCGGGGCUCAACUCCGGAACUGCCUUUAAGACUGCAUCGCUAGAAUUGUGGAGAGGUGAGUGGAAUUCCGAGUGUAGAGGUGAAAUUCGUAGAUAUUCGGAAGAACACCAAUGGCGAAGGCGACUCACUGGACACAUAUUGACGCUGAGGUGCGAAAGCGUGGGGAGCAAACAGG
rnacentral:rRNA from 1 species